rnacentral:rRNA from 1 species
UUACAGGGUAGCAAUAUUCUGUAGUUGGAGCGGCGCAAGGGUGCGUAACACGUGGGUAAUCUGCCAUGAAGUUUGGGAUAACUCGCUGAAAGGCGAGCUAAUACCGGAUGUGACGAUUGGAAGGCAUCUUCCGAUCUUCAAAGUUGGGGACCGUAAGGCCUGACGCUUCAUGAUGAGCCCGCGGCCUAUCAGCUAGUUGGUGAGGUAACGGCUCACCAAGGCUAAGACGGGUAGCUGGUCUGAGAGGACGACCAGCCACACUGGAACUGAGACACGGUCCAGACACCUACGGGUGGCAGCAGUCGAGAAUUUUUCACAAUGGGGGAAACCCUGAUGGAGCGACGCCGCGUGGGGGAUGAAUGGCUUCGGCCCGUAAACCCCUGUCAUUCGCGAACAAUGCCUGUGUAUUAACACCAUACAGGUUGAUAGUAGCGGAAGAGGAAGGGACGGCUAACUCUGUGCCAGCAGCCGCGGUAAUACAGAGGUCCCAAGCGUUGUUCGGAUUCACUGGGCGUAAAGGGUGCGUAGGCGGUCGGGUAAGUCUGAUGUGAAAUCUCACAGCUUAACUGUGAAACUGCAUUGGAUACUAUUCGGCUUGAGGUCUGGAGGGGGGACUGGAAUUCACGGUGUAGCA